AGAUUGAACGCUGGCGGCAUGCUUUACACAUGCAAGUCGAACGGCAGCGCGGGGCAACCUGGCGGCGAGCGGCGAACGGGUGAGUAAUAUAUCGGAACGUACCCAAGAGUGGGGGAUAACGUAGCGAAAGUUACGCUAAUACCGCAUACGAUCUAAGGAUAGAAAGCGAGGGGGACCGCAAGGGCCUUGUGCUCCUGGAGCGGCCGAUAUCUGAUUAGCUAGUUGGUAGGGUAAAGGCCUACCAAGGCUACGAUCAGUAGCUGGUCUGAGAGGACGACCAGCCACACUGGAACUGAGACACGGUCCAGAUUCCGUACGGGAGCAGCAGGUGGGGUAAUUUUGGAACAAGUGGGCGACAAGGCCUAGACUCCAGCAAGUGCCGCGUGAGUGAAG
rnacentral:rRNA from 1 species